GACGAACGCUGGCGGCGUGCUUAACACAUGCAAGUCGAACGAUGAACCCGGAGCUUGCUCCGGCGGAUUAGUGGCGAACGGGUGAGUAACACGUGAGUAACCUGCCCUUGACUCUGGGAUAACUGCUAGAAAUGGUAGCUAAUACCGGAUACGACCCUCGGUGGCAUCACCAGGGGGUGGAAAGAAUUUCGGUCAAGGAUGGACUCGCGGCCUAUCAGCUAGUUGGUGAGGUAACGGCUCACCAAGGCGACGACGGGUAGCCGGCCUGAGGGGGUGACCGGCCACACUGGGACUGAGACACGGCCCAGACUCCUACGGGAGGCAGCAGUGGGGAAUAUUGCACAAUGGGCGCAAGCCUGAUGCAGCAACGCCGCGUGAGGGAUGACGGCCUUCGGGUUGUAAACCUCUUUUAGUAGGGAAGAAGCAAAAGUGACGGUACCUGCAGAAAAAGCACCGGCUAACUACGUGCCAGCAGCCGCCGUAA
rnacentral:rRNA from 1 species